UACGAAGGGUGCAAACGUUGCUCGGAAUCAUUGGGCGUAAAGCGCACGUAGGCGGACCGCUAAGUCGGAUGUGAAAGCCCUCGGCUUAACCGAGGAAGUGCAUUCGAAACUGACGGUCUUGAGUAUGGAAGAGGGUCGCGGAAUUCCCGGUGUAGAGGUGAAAUUCGUAGAUAUCGGGAGGAACACCAGUGGCGAAGGCGGCGACCUGGGCCAAUACUGACGCUGAGGUGCGAAAGCGUGGGGAGCAAACAGG
rnacentral:rRNA from 1 species